GUAUUAAGAAAAGUUUGCACACUCGUCCACUCAACAUUCGAUACAUCCAAAGGAUUUUGUUAGACAAUUAAAAAUCGAACAGUCGAAAAGUUUCUUAACUGAUUGUAAUGGACCCCUGCAUUAAUUAUUUCUUUGAAUAAAAAAACCCUUGCCUUACUUACUUAUCGAUAAUAAUGAUUGCAUAUUUACCGUACUAAUUCGUUUAGCAUUUAGCUGGAUUGAUUAGUUCACUUUCCCUAUACUUCGCUACACUUGGUUAUAAAAUGGCUUUAUACUAUGAAACGAUUUUAAUCUUUUCGUAACGUUAAACGUGUACUAAAUAUAAUGGUGAGUUUUUCACAGAUGUUUUGGAUUAUUACCAUCUUUACGUUUGCACUUGGUACCGUGUUCACUGCUGGGUGUGGCCUAAACGAGAAGUACGAUGAUUGUGGGCCCAAGUAUGAGCUGAACUGCAACAUAAAAAAUAAUCCAACUGACACCGUUCAUUGCAUUCCGGGCUGUUUUUGUCAACUGGGCUACAUAAGAGGAUUUGAAGAUGGAAUUUGUAUCAAUGACAGCAGUUGUCCAUCGGUGAUUUGAAAUAAGUCUUACAU